rnacentral:rRNA from 2 species
UUUGGUGGUCAUAGCGCGAGCAAAACACCCGAUCCCAUCCCGAACUCGGUCGUUAAGUGCCGUAGCGCCGAUGGUACUGCGUCUCAAGACGUGGGAGAGUAGGUCACCGCCAAACCUA